GCAUUAAUGGGGUAGAGGUAACCCAGAUCUUCAAAUUUGUCCGAUUUUGUGCCCAACUUUACGGACCGGCCGAGGGUUCAAAUCCCUCUUAAUGCA